GUCCUGGCAGUAAACGGUGCACGUUUGGUGUGGGCGGGUUCAGACCCCGUCCGUGCCGGAGCUAACGCGUUAAACGUGCCGCCUGGGAAGUACGGUCGCAAGAUUAAAACUCAAAGAAAUUGACGGGGGCCCGCACAAGCGGUGGAGUAUGUGGCUUAAUUCGAUGCAACGCGAAGAACCUUACCUGGCCUUGACAUGCAUUGUGUCCCCGGUGAAAGCCGGGUAGCUGGUAGCAAUAUCAGCGCCUUGCACAGGUGCUGCAUGGCUGUCGU
rnacentral:rRNA from 1 species